rnacentral:rRNA from 1 species
GAUGAACGCUGGCGGCGUGCCUAAUACAUGCAAGUCGAACGGACGGACGAGACGCUUGCUUCUCUCAUGUUAGCGGCGCACGGGAGAGUCACACGUGUAAAACCUACCUAUCAGACUGGGAUCACUUCGGGACACCGGCGCUAAUCCCGGAUAAUAUUUUGAUCCGCAUGGUUCAAAAGUGAAAGACGGUCUUGCUGUAACUUCUAGAUGGUUACGGGCUGCAUUGGCUGGUUGGUAAGGUAACGGCCUAUCAAGGCAACGAUGCAUAGCCGACCUGAUAGGCGGAUCGGCCACACUGGAACUGGACCACGGUCCAGACUCCUACGGGAGGCAGCAGUAGGGAAUCUUCCGCAAUGGGCGAAAGCCUGACGGAGCAACGCCGCGUGAGUGAUGACGGUCUUCGGAUCGUAAAACUCUGUUAUGAGGUAAGAACAGAUGUCGAAGUAACCGUGCACAGCGUGACGGUACCUAAUCAGAAAGCCACGGCUAACUACGUG